GUAGGUGAACCUGCGGAAGGAUCAUUAACACGAUCUACGUAUCUACCUAACCAAUUGUAGUACCCCACACCAGCUUGCGUGCCAUGGGCCUUUCGCCAAAAUUGAAUUGCCACGGAUAUGGAAUUAACCUGACUUGAUGGGAGUGGGAUCGCCCCCCUCGCUAUAUCAUUAGAUUUUGCUAGUUGACUUUGUGGUUGUCAUGUCGGUGACUUUGAACCUCACUCGCUUGUGGCACCCGUGUAGCACGUUGUUACACGUUAAUCAUACAACUCUUAGCAAUGGAUAUCUUGGUUCUC
rnacentral:misc_RNA from 1 species